rnacentral:rRNA from 1 species
ACCUACGGGAGGCAGCAGUGGGGAAUAUUGCACAAUGGGCGAAAGCCUGAUGCAGCAACGCCGCGUGGAGGAUGAAGGUUUUCGGGUUGUAAACUCCUUUUGUUAGAGAAGAUAAUGACGGUAUCUAACGAAUAAGCACCGGCUAACUCCGUGCCAGCAGCCGCGGUAAUACGGAGGGUGCAAGCGUUACUCGGAAUCACUGGGCGUAAAGAGCGCGUAGGCGGGAUAGCAAGUCAGAUGUGAAAUCCUAUGGCUUAACCAUAGAACUGCAUUUGAAACUGUUAUUCUAGAGUAUGGGAGAGGUA